rnacentral:rRNA from 1 species
GGGGGGGGGGGGGGGGGGGGCGGGUGGGGGGGGGGCGGGCGGGCGGAGGGGGAGCGUGGUUCUCUGGGGGUGGCGGCGGACGGGUGGGUAACACGUGGAUAACCUACCUAUGAGACUGGGACAACUUCGGGAAACCGGAGCUAAUACCGGAUAAUCGUUUGAACCGCAUGGUUCAAAAGUGAAAGACGGUCUUGCUGUCACUUAUAGAUGGAUCCGCGCUGCAUUAGCUAGUUGGUAAGGUAACGGCUUCCCAAGGCAACGAUGCAUAGCCGACCUGAGAGGGUGAUCGGCCACACGGGAACUGAGAAACGGUCCAGACUCCUACGGGAGGCAGCAGUAGGGAAUCUUCCGCAAUGGGCGAAAGCCUGACGGAGCAACGCCGCGUGAGUGAUGAAGGUCUUCGGAUCGUAAAACUCUGUUAUUAGGGAAGAACAUAUGUGUAAGUAACUGUGCACAUCUUGACGGUACCUAAUCAGAAAGCCACGGCUAACUACGUG